GUCCACGCAGUAAACGAUGAUUACUAGGAGUUUGCGAUAUAAUGUAAGCUCUACAGCGAAAGCGUUAAGUAAUCCACCUGGGGAGUACGCCGGCAACGGUGAAACUCAAAGGAAUUGACGGGGGCCCGCACAAGCGGAGGAACAUGUGGUUUAAUUCGAUGAUACGCGAGGAACCUUACCCGGGUUUGAACGCAGUCUGACCGCCGAUGAAAGUCGGUUUCUAGCAAUAGCGGAUUGCGAGGUGCUGCAUGGUUGUCGU
rnacentral:rRNA from 1 species